rnacentral:rRNA from 1 species
UACGGAGGGUCCGAGCGUUAUCCGGAAUCAUUGGGUUUAAAGGGUCCGUAGGCGGCCCUGUAAGUCAGUGGUGAAAUCUCCCGGCUCAACCGGGAAAUUGCCAUUGAUACUGCAGGGCUUGAAUUAUUGGGAAGUAACUAGAAUAUGUAGUGUAGCGGUGAAAUGCUUAGAUAUUACAUGGGAAUACCGAUUGCGAAGGCAGGUUACUACCGGUGGAUUGACGCUGAUGGACGAAAGCGUGGGUAGCGAACAGG